rnacentral:rRNA from 1 species
AUUGAACGCUGGCGGCGUGCCUUACACAUGCAAGUCGAACGGCAGCACGGGGGCAACCCUGGUGGCGAGUGGCGAACGGGUGAGUAACACAUCGGAACGUGCCCAGUAGUGGGGGAUAGCUCGGCGAAAGCCGGAUUAAUACCGCAUACGACCUACGGGUGAAAGCGGGGGAUCGCAAGACCUCGCGCUAUUGGAGCGGCCGAUGUCAGAUUAGGUUGCUGGUGGGGUAAAGGCCUACCAAGCCGACGAUCUGUAGCUGGUCUGAGAGGACGACCAGCCACACUGGGACUGAGACACGGCCCAGACUCCUACGGGAGGCAGCAGUGGGGAAUUUUGGACAAUGGGCGCAAGCCUGAUCCAGCCAUGCCGCGUGCGGGAAGAAGGCCUCGG